AUUGAUGAAAAAAAUUGCGACUUCAAGAGGGUGGUGCAAUAAGAAAGCAGGAAAUUGAACUAGCAAAAACAGCUAUAGCUAAGGAUGAGGCCGAGCUAUCACAACUACAAAAUGAAGAGAAAACACUUAAAGGACUUGUCCAGCAGCUUAGAGGAUGUUGUGGACGUCCAUGACAGUUUAGCUGCUGAAGCUGAACAUGGUGAUGCUUCCAGAAAGGAAAGGUCCUCAGUUCAAGGUGUAGAACAGGUAAUUAAUACCAAACAUGUUUCAUGUAAUUAGAAAUUGAUUGCAGUUUUACUUUCAUAUAUUUUAAAGAUUUUUAUUAGAGCU